rnacentral:rRNA from 1 species
UCGAACGAGAAGUACGUAGCAAUACGUAUUGUAAAGUGGCGCACGGGUGAGUAACACGUGGGUAAUCUGCCCUUGAGUUUGGGAUAACCCCGCGAAAGCGGGGCUAAUACCGAAUAAGACCACGGGGACCAAAGUCCCUGAGGUAAAAGGUGGCCUCUAUUUAUAAGCUACCACUUGAGGAUGAGCCCGCGGCCCAUUAGCUAGUUGGCAGGGUAACGGCCUACCAAGGCAAUGAUGGGUAGCUGGUCUGAGAGGACGAUCAGCCACACUGGAACUGAGACACGGUCCAGACUCCUACGGGAGGCAGCAGUGGGGAAUAUUGCGCAAUGGGCGAAAGCCUGACGCAGCAACGCCGCGUGGGGGAUGAAGGUUCUCGGAUUGUAAACCCCUUUCGACCGGAACGAAUCUCCUCCUGGUAAAUAAUCAGGAGGAUCGACGGUACCGGGAGAAGAAGCCACGGCUAACUCUGUGCCAGCAGCCGCGGUAAGACAGAGGUGGCGAGCGUUGUUCGGAUUUAUUGGGCGUAAAGCGAACGCAGGUGGUUUGGUAAGUCAGGGGUGAAAGACCACAGCUUAACUGUGGCAUUGCCUUUGAUACUGCCUUUCUUGAGUAGAGUAGGGGGAAGCGGAAUUCCGAGUGUAGAGGUGAAAUUCGUAGAUAUUCGGAGGAACACCGGUGGCGAAGGCGGCUUCCUGGACUCUAACUGACACUCAUGUUCGAAAGCGUGGGGAGCAAACAGGAUUAGAUACCCUGGUAGUCCACGCCCUAAACGAUGGGCACUAGGUGUG